rnacentral:rRNA from 1 species
CUUUUUGUACACUAUAGAUUCACACAACAACUUUGGAGGGAGUUCCAGCAGUGGACUGGGGUGUCUUCCACCAUUCCUGACGAAAGCUUCAGCAGCACGGAAGACUGGUGGCUAACAACUAGGAGGGCGAUCCCAAAUCCUGCCCGUCGUAACUUCGACACCAUCUCCAUUCUGAUACAUUGGAGGGUCUGGAAGGAGCGGUACGCUAGAACUUUCUAUCACUCUGCGUGUACCAUUGAGCGAGUCCUUGACCAAAUCAGAGAGGAUAUCGGCGUCUGGAGGGCCGCUGGUUGUGUCACUAACGUGGGGAUCUGA